rnacentral:rRNA from 1 species
UUCAUUUUGUUGUGUAAUAAAAUGUAUAAUCUGCUCAAUGAUUUUUUAAAUUGCUGUGGUAUUUUGACUAUACGAAGGUAUUGAAAUAAGAUUUUAAAUGAGUGCUAAGAGAAUGAUUGAACAAUUAUAGGCUUUCUUUAGUUAAAUAAUUAAAUUUAAUUUUUUUAGUGCAAAAGCAAAAAUUAAAUUUAGGGACAAGAAGACCCUAUGAAUUUUAAUUUAAUUUAUAAUUUGAAAUUUUAAAUUAAAUUUGAUUGGGGCGAUGGAAAAAGAAUGAGUAUCUUUUUAGUUUUAAAAAUUGGUUCCGUUUUUAACGAUUAAAUGAGAAAAAUACUCUAGGGAUAACAGCGUAAUAAUUUUGGAUAGUUCUUAUAGAUAAAAUAGUUUGCGACCUCGAUGUUGGAUUAGGAUUCUUUCUUGGCGAAGAAGUUAAGAAAAAGAAGUUUGUUCAACUUUUAAAUUCCUACAU